ACACUCCUGCGGGAGGCAGCAGUGGGGAAUUUUGGACAAUGGGCGAAAGCCUGAUCCAGCCAUGCCGCGUGCAGGAUGAAGGACUUCGGGUUGUAAACUGCUUUUGUACGGAACGAAACGGCCUUUUCUAAUAAAGAGGGCUAAUGACGGUACCGUAAGAAUAAGCACCGGCUAACUACGUGCCAGCAGCCGCGGUAAUACGUAGGGUGCAAGCGUUAAUCGGAAUUACUGGGCGUAAAGCGUGCGCAGGCGGUUAUGUAAGACAGUUGUGAAAUCCCCGGGCUCAACCUGGGAACUGCAUCUGUGACUGCAUAGCUAGAGUACGGUAGAGGGGGAUGGAAUUCCGCGUGUAGCAGUGAAAUGCGUAGAUAUGUGGAGGAACACCGAUGGCGAAGGCAAUCCCCUGGACCUGUACUGACGCUCAUGCACGAAAGCGUGGGGAGCAAACAGGAUUAGAAACCCGAGUAGUCCCAUGAU
rnacentral:rRNA from 1 species